AUUUGCAUCUUUAUCUUAUUUUUUUUAUCUUGUCCAUAUCUUGUCUUGUCUUGUCUGCAUCUUAUCUUCAUCGUCUUCUUUUACUCUAAAUUGACAUCUGGAAUUAUGUUAUCUUCACCGUUACAUUUCGAACAUAUGUGAUCAGGGUAUUUGUGUCCAAUUAGUUUGCAAUAUCUGGUUAAUAACUCUGUUGAAAUAAAUCCUGCUUUUAGUGCUCUUGUCGUAGGUCGUUCCUCUGGUUUUAACAAUGAUAA
rnacentral:lncRNA from 1 species